AAACUGCGAUAAGUAAUGUGAAUUGCAGAACUCCGUGAAUCAUCGAGUCUUCGAACGCACAUUGCGCCCCCUGGUAUCCCGGGGGGCACGCCUGUCCGAGCGUCGUCAAUCGCCCAUCGGGCCGCCCCUGAUGUCCCCCUCCGGGGCGUCCAGGGUGCCCGGCGUUGGGGGAUCCCCUCGUGGACCCUAGGGGUCCACCGGGGCCCUCGCAAACCAGCCCCGGAGAGUCCCUCGGAUGGCCCCGAGCGCAGCGGCUGUCUUGCUCGUGGUGGCCCGGUCCGAGCCGCCGACCUCCAACCCCCCGUCGUGGGCAUGCCCGUCGCCCCCGUGGUGGGGGUGUGCCCCGUCGUUUUGACCUCGGAUCAGGCGGGGAUACCCGCUGAACUUAAGC
rnacentral:misc_RNA from 1 species